GAGGAUUGGUUCAACACUAGAAAAGCUAAAUCUAGGAAUAAUUAGUAAAACAAACAAGCUGGUACCUGCCCCCCUCCUACAAAGGGUGACCUUCACAUGAAGGUCAUUUUCUUGGUGGAAUCCAAGAAAAUCAUCAUUUUCCAGGAGCAAGUGGGAGAUGGGCUCUUCUGUGAACACCAGAACUUUGACACCCAUUUUGGCCUAAACAACCCUCUCUCCCUUCUCUUCAGU
rnacentral:lncRNA from 1 species